rnacentral:lncRNA from 1 species
CUGGGCUUUAUAUAUAUUUAAUGCUUUCAAAAGCCCUGAGAUCAAUGUUAUUAUACAAAUAUAUCAGAUGAGGAAAUCAAUUCUUAUAGAUGUUAACCAGCUUGUCCAAGAUGGUGGCCACCAAGCAGGUGGCAGAAAUGGAGAAGACUCAAGGAUUUGUGACUCCAAAAGUUCUCUCUUACCAUGAGGAUUCUUAAUUGUCCAACUCUUUACUAUAUAUGUGAAGCUGAUUAUGAUUGAAGGUAUUUUCAAUGAAAGUAUAUUUGUGAAGGUAUAACCAGAGGACACAAUGUCAGUUUAGGAUCUCUGCUGACAAAACAAUGCCAACAAUUAGGCAAGGGGUACAUUUUAAG